GAUCGCAGCUACCAUGCAGUCGAGGGGUACGGGAAGUGCUUGCACUUUGCCGACGACCGGCGCACGGGUGCGGAACGCGUAUGGAACCUGCCCCUGUCAGGGGAAUAGCCCAGAGAAAUUUGGAUUAAUGCCCCAUGGUAUCCCAUCACCACAUGGUGUAGGGAUUAAAGAUUUAUCGGACAGGGAUGGCCAUGCGUACCAUUAGCUUGUUGGUGAGGUAACGGCUUACCAAGGCAACGAUGGUUAGGGGCCCUGAGAGGGGGAUCCCCCACACUGGUACUGAGACACGGACCAGACUCCUACGGGAGGCAGCAGUGAGGAAUAUUGGACAAUGGGCGGGAGCCUGAUCCAGCCAUGCCGCGUGCAGGAUGACUGCCCUAUGGGUUGUAACCUGCUUUUUAUACGGGAAGAAACUUGUCCACGAGUGGACAGCUGACGGCACCGUAGGAAUUCUGACCGGCUACCCUCC
rnacentral:rRNA from 1 species